rnacentral:pre_miRNA from 1 species
AGUGGGAUAACUGGGUCAAAUUGUUGUUCCAUUCUUUUUUGAGGAAUCUCUGCAUUGCUUUCCAGAGUAGUUGCAACAAUUUGCAAUCCCACCAGCAAU